GUUACAAUGCAUAAAGUAAGCAACGUGGUGUUUUUCCGUGGAAUAUAAACACACACAUACUGAUACGAAGAUAAGAGGCCAGUUGUAUUUAUCACGUGUGACAGAACAUUAUGAAAGAAAAUAAGUGGAUAAUAAGAGUACGCGUUCUAAAACAUAUGGUAACGUAAUGGAGAAACCAAUUUUCGAACAUUGCUAUUCUAUAUGAUACAAUAGUAUAUAUCACAAUAUAAAGGCCAAAUAGCAUGGAAAGUGUAAAACCUCAGUAAACCACAUAGAGGAAUAUAUGCUACAUCCUAUUAAUUAAUCACUAAACCUUACACGGAAAUAUGACUCCUAAUCUAAUGUGAACCCCAAUCUUCAAAUGGAAAAUCCAAUAUGCCAGAAACUAACCUCGUUCCAAUCAUCAUUAAACCCUACACGAAAAUAUAAAUCCUAACCCAAUUAUGAAACUAAAACUUUUCCAUAUUAAUUCACUCUCUACCAAAUCUUCAAAUUCAAAUGGAGAACCCAAUAUGCCAUAAACUAACCCCUCCCCAAUAAUCACUAUACCCUACACGGAAAUAUAAACCCUCAUCCUAUGUCACCUCACAUCUUUAAUAAACUAAACCUAUCAACUAAUCACUAAACCCUACAUGGAAAUAUAAACUCUAAUCCAAUGUCAACCAUAAUCUUCCAUAAAAUAAACCCAAAUUUCAAAAUGCCAGUAAAAUGAAUACCAUUUUACAUGAGGCAUAUAUAAUAGAAAAUGUGAAAAUGUAGUUGUAUUCUAAAGAUUAUCUUAACAUAUUUCUCACAUGUUGAUAUGACUAUGCCUUCAUGGAAGGUGAUAAUGCUUGCCCAAUAUCAACUCAAUCGUACAUAAACUAAACCCUAUCAACUAAUCACUAAACCCUACAAGAAAAUAUAAACUCUAAUCCAAUGUCAACCCCAAUCUUCCUUAAACUAAAACUAAAACCAAACCAGUAAUCACUAAACCCCACAUGGAAAUAUAAAC
rnacentral:lncRNA from 1 species